rnacentral:rRNA from 1 species
GACGAACGCUGGCGGCGUGCCUAAUACAUGCAAGUAGAACGCUGAAGGAGUAGCUUGCUCUUCUGGAUGAGUUGCGAACGGGUGAGUAACGCGUAUGUAACCUGCCUGGUAUUUGCGUAUAACUUUUGGAAACGAUAGCUAAUCCCGCAUAAGAGUAGAUGUUGCAUGACAUUUGCUUAAACUUCGCAAUUUCAUCACUACCAUAUGGACCUGAGUUGUUUUAGCUAGGUGGUGGUGUAACGGCUCACCAAGGCGACGAUACAGAUCCGAGCUGAGAGGGUGAUAGGCCAAACUGGGAAUUAGACACGGGCCAGACUCCCAACGGAGGGAGCAGUAGGGAAACUUCGGCAAAGGACGGAAGUCUGACCGAGGAAAGCCGCGUGAGUGAAGAAGGUUUUCGGAGCGUAAAGCUCUGUUGUAAGAGAAGAACGAGUGGGAGAGUGGAAAGUUCACGCUGUGACGGUAUCUAACGAGAAAGGAACGGCUAACUACGUG